AUACGUAGGUGGCGAGCGUUAUCCGGACUUACUGGGUGCAAAGGGUGUGUAGGCGGGGCGUCAAGUCAGAUGUGAAAAUUAUGGGCUCAACCCGUGACCUGCAUUCGACACUGUUUUUCUUGAGAGCGGGAGAGGAGAACGGAAUUCCUGGUGUAGCGGUGAAAUGCGCAGAUAUCAGGAGGAACACCGGUGGCGAAGGCGGAUCUCUGGGCCGAUACUGACGCUGAGGAGCGAAAGCGUGGGGAGCGAACAGGAUUAGAAACCCUAGUAGUCC
rnacentral:rRNA from 1 species